UAGCGAGGGGGGCGAGCGUUGUUCGGAAUUGUUGGGCGUAAAGGGUGCGUAGGCGGUUUGGUAAGUCUUAUGUGAAAUCUACAGGCUCAACUUGUAGUCUGCAUGAGAAACUGCCGGGCUUGAGUAUGGGAGAGGUGAGUGGAAUUCCUGGUGUAGCGGUGAAAUGCGUAGAUAUCAGGAGGAACACCUGUGGCGAAAGCGGCUCACUGGACCAUAACUGACGCUGAUGCACGAAAGCUAGGGGAGCAAACAGG
rnacentral:rRNA from 1 species